CAGCGGCGAACGGGUGAGUAACACGUGGAUAACCUGCCCUCGGCACCGGGAUAGCCCGGGGAAACCCGGAUUAAUACCGGAUGGCCCUUCCGGCUUUCGAGCCGGUCGGAAAAGGUAGCUUCGGCCUCCGGCCGAGGAUGGGUCCGCGGCGGAUUAGCUUGUUGGUGGGGUAACGGCCUACCAAGGCUCCGAUCCGUAGCUGGUCUGAGAGGACGAUCAGCCACACUGGGACUGAGACACGGCCCAGACUCCUACGGGAGGCAGCAGUGGGGAAUCUUGCCCAAUGGGCGAAAGCCUGAGGCAGCGACGCCGCGUGAGGGAGGAAGGCCUUCGGGUUGUAAACCUCUUUCAGGAGGGACGAAGCUACUCGGGUUAAUAGCCCAGAGGGUGACGGUACCUCCAGAAGAAGCCCCGGCUAACUACGUGCCAGCAGCCGCGGUAAUACGUAGGGGGCAAGCGUUGUCCGGAUUUACUGGGCGUAAAGCGCGUGUAGGCGGCCACGCAGGUCCGUUGUGAAAACUAGAGGCUUAACCUCUAGACGUCGACGGAAACCGUGUGGCUAGAGUCCGGAAGAGGAGAGUGGAAUUCCUGGUGUAGCGGUGAAAUGCGCAGAUAUCAGGAAGAACACCAAUGGCGAAGGCAGCUCUCUGGGACGGUAC
rnacentral:rRNA from 1 species